AGUGAACGCUGGCGGCAGGCCUAAAACAUGCCAGUCGACCGAACGCACUGUAAGCGUUUGCCUUUCACGGUGGCGUGAGGCGGACGGGUGAGAAAUGGAUAGGAAUCCACUGUUACGCGGCGCAAAACGGGGGGAAAACUCUGCUAAAACAGCAUAAAUCCCACGGAAGAAUACAGGAGUUAUUGGAACUUUGUGCGAUUGUGUUAGACGAUGCCGGAUUAGCUAGUUGGUGGGGUAAAGGCUCACCAAGGCGAUGAUGCGUAGCCGAUUUGAGAGGAUGAUCGGCCACACUGGAACUGAGACACGGUCCAGACUCCUACGGGAGGCAGCAGUAGGGAAUCUUGCACAAUGGGCGCAAGCCUGAUGGAGCAACGCCGCGUGGGUGAAGAAGGUCUUCGGAUCGUAAAACCCUGUUGUUAGGGAAGAAAAGCUGUGGGAGUAACUGUCCACGUUUUGACGGUACCUAAACAGAAAGCCACGGCUAACUACGUG
rnacentral:rRNA from 1 species